CGCCGUGGACACGAGGCGCCCAUCCGUCGGCCCUGCGUGCUUGAUAAGAGCAUCUCGGCGCCCCUCCCUCGGCAAACCCUAGCCACCCACUGCCCCUGCCUCUCCCACUUCUCCCCCCUCUCGCCCAUCUUCUCGAUCUGGAGGAGACCGUCGCCGCCGUCGCCAUGGGUUCGCCGCCUACGUAGCCACCGGCCACUCCGCGUCGCACCGCCGUGUCCAGAAGCUCCGUCGACGUCUUCUUCGUCUUCCUCGCCCACUGGAACAAGCCGAGAGCCAUCGCAUCGCCGGCAUCGAGCGUCUUCUUUCUUUGCAUCACCGUAGCUUCGUCGCGCCAAUACGAGCAAACUGUUGCUUCUAGUCACUCACCGGGCCUUCGUGCGCCUCCUCGGUGAGCUCCUCCCUCGGACCCCCUUUUUUUCCUUUGAUUUGGAUGUCGUAGGUCACCUUCAUCGUCGUGCCCGAUCUCGGGCAUACAUGUACAUAUCUGAGCUACUGCUGCUGCCUUGGCGCUGCUGCUUCUGCUAUCGCCGCGCCACUGCUACACGACUGCAACCGCGGCCGCCCCCUGCUAGCACCGCUCGUGCGCUGCUCCGCCGGCCGGUGCCUCCCGCUGUGACCUGCUCUACUGCUGCUGUAGUUGUCGCGACGCCCGCGGCCCAUGCUCUGCCUGCUGUAGUUGCUCUGCCCUGCUGCCACUACGCCGUCCGCGAGGGCGACGCCGGCGCCCGGCGCUGCUCACUGCUCCCCGUGCUGGCCGUGCCUUGCGCUUGCGCACGCGCCGUCGUGCGUGCCUGAUACUACCGGCGACUACUGCUUCUGGUUGCCCAAUGCUGCUGCCGCUUGCUACUUGUCUACUGCUAACUGAUGAUAGCUACUGUAGCUGCUAGCUAGCUUUGCGAAUAUUACAUCGAGUAACCCCCUGGGCAGCCCCUAAACUGUGGUUAAACAGUUGUAAACAUGAGUGAAAAUAAUAUAAGUAGAAAGUAUACAUGACAAACUCCAUUUUAUCCCACUGGACCAAAUACUUUUGAUGUGUGGAUUAAAUCCUACAAAAAUCACAAAAUGCUAUCUUGUCUUAAAAGGAAUAGAGUUACUCCCUAGCAUUGUGUGUGUGCGCCGUGUGUGGCCGGUUGUGUGCCUCUGGCCGGCCCUGUGUGCUUGUGUGAUGUGUGUGUGUGUGCAGCGUGUGUGUGGCCGGCUGUGUGCCUCUGGCCGGCCCUGUGUGCUUGUGUGAUGUGUGUGUGUGUGUGUGUGCAGCGUGUGUGUGGCCGGCUGCGUCUCUGGAUGUGACCGGCCCUAUUUAGGUUAGUAGCUAAUGAGUAGUUAGACUAAUUAGUACUUUGGAUAAUUGCUAGCCUAUGACAUGUGGCCCCCUAUGUUAACUAGUAGAAUGCCCGUGCGUUGCCACGGGCCAACAAAUGAAAUUGUGUAAACAAUGCUCAUUUUCCUCCCCAGAAACGAGCAUAUUGCACGCAAUGUUCAACCACAACACAAAUGCAAGCAUAUUCUUCUCUCUAUUCUUACAAACAUGACACGCCCCUCUAGCCGCCCUUUCCCAUUAAACUUGUCGUUCAUCACCUUCUCUGUCCAUACAUCAUUCACCCUCUCAAUCUAUUGCCCCUUAAUUUUGCAUGUAGCUUUCAUGUCAUUGUUUCGUUGUCUCGGACGGUACAAAACAACCCUACCACGUCACCUUCUUCUAGAUCUAUUCCUAAUCCAAGGAAGCUAAAUCUAGUUGAAUGACCGUGCGUUGCCCUGAAAAAUAAAAUUAUCUAUGAAAACACAUAUCGUAAUAUCAUUAUAUGGAGUUUGUACAUCACAUGCUUAUGACUAUGUUUCUCCAAGCAUGCAUUUCAAUUUCCACCCUCACCAAAAUAUGUACUUACAUGUGCUCCUUCAACCACACAAAUACGUCUUAUCCCCCCCUCCAUGAAAUUCGCUUUGCAUCAUUGUGUUGCACAUGUGAUAUUUAAAAACAAGGAAGCGAGUGGUGUCAUCAGUAUUAGUCAUCUACAUUUGGCACUCGGGAAGAAGGCACAAUUGGCUUCUCUGACCAGAUUUGAUUCUAUCUAGGUGUUACUCUUCUAUAUUGACGAGUUCCGUCUGUGAAGCGAAUUCUAGGCUUUCUCCUGUUCAACACAGGUACCAAAUUUGAGAUGCAAAACUUUAAGAUGUACAUGAUUUCUUGCACAAAUCCUCUUGCCGAAUCAUGGAGCUUCAAAUUUUCUGUGGACAAAAUCAUCCGAGUGCAGUGUAUUGCAAUGCUCGAGUAAUAAACAUAUACAACAAACUUUUGAGUCUAUGAAUUUAUGAUAGUGAGGAGUAUAAACUAUGAAACAUAGAUUAGAAUCUCAUGAGGUCAGUACAACUUAAAUGCAGUUCCUAAAGAAUAUAAGUUGAAGAUUUCGUAACAUAUCAGUUGGUAUUUCAAUGAUAGUUGGACCAUAAAGUUUGCAAGCUAGUUUCCCUUCUAAGAAGGGCCAAAUACAUUCCUUAUAAACACCUGGAACUCUAUGUCCUUAGUAAGUUUCCCGAAAAAAGCGACACUUGCACCAUCAUGGAUGUCCGAGUACUUCACAUGCUAUUUCUCAAAUAAGAAUGCACUGGUAACUCUGAUGUGCGAUUCUUGAUAGAGCUACCCACAUUAUAUGAUAUACAUUAAACAUUUAGCAAUUACAUACAUAUCUUCCAUGCAACUGGCUAUUAUAUACCGUUCAACCACAUACACGUUUUUGACUUUAUCAAACUGAUAGGCAAAAAAACACAGGAUUUAAGAUUUAUUUGAUGGACAAAUUUGAUAUUACUACCACCAAGCAUUAUAUGCAAUUGAUAUUAAUCCCAAACACUGAAUAUAUAUCUUUUAAUAAAAAGAUUGAAUUCAUAGUUACACACAAGAUUCAAGUAGUUGAUGAUAUAUAGAGAUCAGCAGCGUGCCAAAUUUAACUUGGGACUCAUGAAUUGAAAUUCAACAACAAAAUAUUAUAUGUAGGAAAAUAAUUGAACCAAACCUUCAUAUAUACGAUGGUUUUGUGAAAUGCAACAACAAUACACUCGUGACUCAUAGCUAAAUGCCCGUGCAUUGCCACGGAGUUCUAAAAAUAUAUGGAGGUUGCCAUGGAGUUAUAAAUAUAUGUAGGAUUCAUAGGUCGGUGUUGACUUGGGCGAUAGGAUGAGUUAAUCGAAAGGAGGUCGGUUAUAGGAUGGGGUCAAAGAAAACCUAGGUCAAGAUGAUGCCAAAUGCAGUCUGCAACCCAUGUCAACCCAUGCGCUAGAACUGGAUAGCUAUCUUCAUGGACACAAAUAUACCAUUGUUUGGUUCUAUUCUCUUUUAGUUUGUAGAGUAAGAAUUUGAAUGAUUUGAUUAUCAUUCUAUCUCUCAAUUGUUGAGAAAUUGUGAUCAAACCAUGCAAUGAAGGAACCAAAUCAAAAGAAGCUUUCACUUGUGCUUUCUAGCCAUUUAAAAUAAGCAUGUGUCAUCAAAUUAUUUAAUGGUGUGUCAGCCAAUUCCAUGAUUUUCUAGAAGAGAGAGGCUCGCACUUCACAAUAUUCAUAAUUUCAAGGUAUGAAAACCUUGCACACACACCUAAAUUCAAUAAAAUAUACGACAAAUAUAUAAACGAUUAUACAAUACACACUUGUGACACUAUAAACAAAUAACUUCAGUUCAUGACAGCCUGAUCAUCCCAGGCCCAGCUUCCAGGGUUUCCACCCCUCCCACCAUGUACGGCUCCCCCUUCCACCUCCAUUUUUUGUCUCCCCUCCCCUUUCGCAAAAGAAAACGGUUUUACCCAUGCAUGUUCACCGCUGGAAAUAAGCCCCAACUCAUGCAUGCACAUGCUUUAAAAAAAAGCCGGCCGACCCGAAAAGGAAAUCUUGCCCACACACUCCGGAGGUGAGCUCGUCCAAUCUUGCCACCACUCCAUCUCCCCCGAUUAUCGUUCUCCACCUUCCCAGCCCUCGCCACUUCACCUCCCCCAUCCAUGCACCGCUUUUGUAGGCAGCCCCUGUCAUCGCCGCCUUCAUCGAUGGCCCCCUCGCCACCACCACAGCGUGAUGCCUUGCCAUCAUCUCCAUGCCCCCAUCAGUUGCGUCCACUAAUCAAAUAGUGGGACCUACAAACAGAUUAUACACUAAAAACUUAGUACGCAAGAUUAGUGCAAACCCAAACCAGAUUCAGCGAACUAAACCAAAUAUAACUCCCAGGCAAAGAAGGGUACCUCCCCAUCAGUUCCAUAGAGUCACACGAUCGACAACAUAUACAGAUUUCCGAUCAGAUGAGUAGACAAUGUUGCGAACCUCCCCAGACCAUUCUGCAAAGGGUUACAAAAUGGUAGAUAGAAAAUAGGGAUGCAUUUUAUGUCCUCGUAGAAAGGACAUAUAGAUAUAACAUAUAUGUCCAGAAAUUUACCUGGAGCAUGUACAUUUAGAAUUUUGUUAGCAACUCACCUGUAGAAGGCAUAAAAAUUGAGGUCACCAGACACAAAAUUAAAAAAUACAUACACAUCAUGUAUGUUCACGAUCAUGUGAAGUGAAACAAUUUUGAACAAUAAACCGAAAAAUGACGUGUUAAAUUAGUCUACGUUCCCAGGAGGCCAAACAGAAAUCAAAAGAUGUGAUGUUCAGUUUAUUUAUCUGAUAGGAAAUGCUCUCUAGUUAUAUUAUUACAGUUAUCAGUCUACAAACUGAAAGGCAUUGUGCUAUUCAUGACAGUUCUCGUGAACUUCUGAUGCAAGAAUGCAAAUUCGAAUGACAAGAAUAGACGGUGCCCCUUAAUAUAGACCCAAAAUUAAUUUAGUAAACCCAUUGAUCACAAGAUUUUCCGACAGAAACACGAUAGACUUCCCGACCUAGCCCUAGAACGGAACCCGUAACGUCCCCCGCCGCUCGGUCCCCAGCCCGCACUGUCGUGGGCGCCUCCCACACCGGCGGCAUCCCUUCGGGGUCCCCAAGAUGACGAGCGAUCCGGCGCGGCGGAAAGGGCUGACACUGAGGAGCAGCGACUCGGUCGGGAGCCUGGCCAGCGCCAGCGGCUCCCUCCAUCAUCGCCGCCCUCGGCCACAUCCAACGCGGUCGUCGGCCACGAGGCGGACGAGCCCGGCAGCAGGGUGUUGUCCCUCCCAUUGCUUUCAUGUUCGACUACUCUUCCUUGGAUCGCCUACCACCACAGAUGCAGGGAUCCUCUUGACUCACACGCCGACCAUGCCUCAACCAGCGAGCAUCGACGCAUCGCCGGCGCGCUCCUCUGUGCUCUCCCUCCUCUCUUCCAUGGUUGGCACAAGGGAGGGAUGAGACGGGCAGGAGAGAGCCUCUUUAUCUAGAUCAGGCAGGGGUUAGGUUUGGAAAGAGUAAAUCAGCUGGAGCGAUUGAGGGAAGGAGAUCGGAAUGGAGCAGGGCGCGAUUGAAGGGUAUGGCAAGAAGAACUUUUUUGGAAAGCUUUGAUUCUGGUGAUAAUUACCAUAUUCGAAAUUUCCUUAGUUAUAGCCUUACCAUACAUGGAUUGAUUUAUUACUAUAAUUAUCAUAUUUGAGAUUUCUAAGUUUAUAGCCUUACCAUACAUGGAUUAAUUGUGAUUGAUUACCAUAAACCGAAAGAUGACGUGUUAAAUUAGUCUACGUUCCCAGGAGGCCAAACAGAAAUCAAAAGAUGUGAUGUUCAGUUUAUUUAUCUGAUAGGAAAUGCUCUCUAGUUAUAUUAUUACAGUUAUCAGUCUACAAACUGAAAGGCAUUGUGCUAUUCAUGACAGUUCUCUUGAACUUCUGAUGCAAGAAUGCAAAUUCGAAUGACAAGAAUAGACGGUGCCCCUUAAUAUAGACCCAAAAUUAAUUUAGUAAACCCAUUGAUCACAAGAUUUUCUGACAGAAACACGAUAGACUUCCCGACCUAGCCCUAGAACGGAACCCGUAACGUCCCCCGCCGCUCGGUCCCUAGCCCGCACUGUCGUGGGUGCCUCCCACACCGGCGGCAUCCCUUCGGGGUCCCCAAGAUGACGAGCGAUCCGGCGCGGCAGAAAGGGCUGGCACUGAGGAGCAGCGACUCGGUCGGGAGCCUGGCCAGCGCCAGCGGCUCCCUCCAUCAUCGCCGCCCUCGGCCACAUCCAACGCGGUCGUCGACCACGAAGAGGCGGACGAGCCCGGCAGCAGGGUGUUGUCCCUCCCAUCGCUUUCAUGUUCGACUACUCUUCCUUGGAUCGCCUACCACCACAGAUGCAGGGAUCCUCUUGACUCACACGUCGACCAUGCCUUAACCAGCGAGCAUCGGCGCAUCGCCGACGCGCUCCUCUGUGCUCUCCCUCCUCUCUUCCAUGGUUGGCACAAGGGAGGGAUGAGACGGGCAGGAGAGAGCCUCUUUAUCUAGAUCAGGCAGGGAUUAGGUUUGGAAAGAGUAAAUCAGCUGGAGCGAUUGAGGGGAGAUCGGAAUGGAGCAGGGCGCGAUUGAAGGGUAUGGCAAGAAGAACUUUUUUGGAAAGCUUUGAUUCUGGUGAUAAUUACCAUAUUCGAAAUUUCCUUAGUUAUAGCCUUACCAUACAUGGAUUGAUUUAUUACUAUAAUUAUCAUAUUUGAGAUUUCUAAGUUUAUAGCCUUACCAUACGUGGAUUAAUUGUGAUUGAUUACCAUAAAUACGUUGGGUAUUGUCGGCCAGACGAGAAAGAGAAAAACCGGUGGGAGGGGGGUGGUGGGAGGUGGGACGAAGAAAAACCGGUUGAAAAUAAACCGGUUGAAAGUGGGNNNNNNNNNNNNNNNNNNNNNNNNNNNNNNNNNNNNNNNNNNNNNNNNNNNNNNNNNNNNNNNNNNNNNNNNNNNNNNNNNNNNNNNNNNNNNNNNNNNNNNNNNNNNNNNNNNNNNNNNNNNNNNNNNNNNNNNNNNNNNNNNNNNNNNNNNNNNNNNNNNNNNNNNNNNNNNNNNNNNNNNNNNNNNNNNNNNNAGAGAUCAUAUUUGAGAUUUCUAAGUUUAUAGCCUUACCAUACGUGGAUUAAUUGUGAUUGAUUACCAUAAAUAUGUUGGGUAUUGUCGGCUAGACGAGAAAGAGAAAAACCGGUGGGAGGGGGGUGGUGGGAGGUGGGACGAAGAAAAACCGGUUGAAAAUAAACCGGUUGAAAAUGGGGGGGACUAUUCAACCAAUUCGUCCAUUAGGAGUAGAGAUUUAACCCCUCUAUUUUAGUUUAUCCAUCAAUUAAAUUAUGUGUCAAUGACAUGUGGGCCACAUCCUUCCUUUUGACUAGUCAAAUUGACUUGGUCAAAUUCGGAUUAGAUUAAAUAAAAAUAUUCUAGAAAAUCAUAAAAAAAUACUAUAAACUUUGAAAAAUCAUAUAAAACAAACCGUAUCUCGGAUGGAAAUAUUUUGUACAUGAAAGUUGCUCAGAACAACGAGACGAAUCUGAAUACACAACCCGUUCGUCCGUCACACAUUCCUAGUAUAGCAAACACGCAACUUUCCCCCACCGGUCCGUCUAUCUGGAAACGCGGAACAUCGGGAAUACUUUCCCGGAUGUUUUCCCCGUUCACCGGUAUCACCUGUCCCUGCGUUAGGUCACUCCUAGCACAACGUAUUGCCGCGUCUUGCUUUCUGUUGCAUUUGAUUGCUCUAUUAUUUAUUGUGUUCCCCCUCUGUUACUUCUUUUCGGUAAGCUCCGAGACCGUUGUCGAUACCCCUGUGAUCGACUACAUCGACGACGACCCCUUCUUCUUGCCAAAGCAACCAGGCAAGCCCCCCCUUGAUCACCAGACAUCGCCUACUCUACUCUCUAUACUGCUUGCAUUAGAGUAGUGUAGCAUGUUACUGCUUUCCGUUAAUCCUAUCCUGAUGCAUAGCCUGUCCUUGCUACUACUGUUGUUACCUUUACCUGCAAUCCUAAUGGUUAGUAUAGGAUGCUAGUUUAUCAUCAGUGGCCCUACAUUCUUGUCCGUCUGCCAUGCUAUACUAUCGGGCCGUGAUCACUCGGGAGGUGAUCACGGGUAUAUACUAUAUACUUUAUACAUGAUACAUGUGAUGACUAAAAGACGGGUCGGCUCGUAGGAGUACCCGCGAGUGGAUCUUUGUGGCGAAGCGACAGGGCAGAUUGAGACCACCUAGGAGAGAGGUGGGCCUGGCCCUGGUCGGCGUUCGCAGUUAUUUCAAGAUAACACGUUUAACGAGAUCUUGGUAUUUGAUCCGAGUCUGGCUACUGGCCUAUACGCACUAACCAUCUACGCGGGGACAGUUAUGGGCACUCGACGUCGUGGUAUCAGCCGAAGCCUUCGUGACAUCAGCGACUAAGUGGCGCGCGCCGGAUUGGGCCGUAAGCCUGCUCUUGUAUUAAAGGGGCUAGUUCUGCUUCCGGCCGCGUUCGCAACGUGCAGGUGUGCAAAGGGCGAUGGGCCCAGACCCCUGCGCCAUAGGAUUUAGACCGGCGUGCUGACCUCUCUGUUGUGCCUAGGUAGGGCUGCGACGUGUUGAUCUUCCGAGGCCGGGCAUGACCCAGAAAAGUGUGUCCGGCCAAAUGGGAUCGAGCGUGUUGGGUUAUGUGGUGCACCCCUGCAGGGAAGUUAAACUAUUCGAAUAGCCGUGAUCUUCGGUAACAGGACGACUUGGAGUUGUACCUUGACCUUAUGACAACUAGAACUGGAUACUUAAUAAAACACACCCUCCCAAGUGCCAGAUACAACCGGUGAUCGCUCUCUCACAGGGCGACGAGGGGAGGAUCAUCGGUUAGGGUUAUGCUAUGCGAUGCUACUUGGAGGACUUCAGUCUACUCUCUUCUACAUGCUGCAAGAUGGAGGUGGCCAGAAGCGUAGUCUUCGACAGGAUUAGCUAUCCCCCUCUUAUUCUGGCUUUCUGCAGUUCAGUCCACCGAUAUGGCCCUUUACACAUUUACCCAUGCAUGUGUAGUGUAGCUCCUUGCUUGCUAGUACUUUGGAUGAGUACUCACGGUUGCUUUCUCCCUCUUUUCCCCCUAUCCCUUCUACCUGGUUGUCGCAACCAGAUGUUGGAGCCCAUGAUCCAGACGCCACCGUCGACGACGACUCCUACUACACCGGAGGUGCCUACUACUACGUGCUGCCCGCUGACGACGACCAGGAGUAGUUAGGAGGAUCCCAGGCAGGAGGCAUGCGCCUCUUUCGAUCUGUAUCCCAGUUUGUGCUAGCCUUCUUAAGGCAAACUUGUUUAACUUAUGUCUGUACUCAGAUAUUGUUGUUUCCGCUGACUCGUCUAUGAUCGAGCUCUUGUAUUCGAGCCCUCGAGGCCCCUGGCUUGUAAUAUGAUGCUUGUAUGACUUAUUUUUAUUUGUAGACUUGUGUUGUGAUAUCUUCCCGUGGGUCCCUGAUCUUGAUCGUACACGUUUGCGUGUAUGAUUAGUGUACGGUCAAAUCGGGGGCGUCACAAGUUAGUAUUAGAGACGACUGCCUGUAGGAAUCCCCCUUCCACACUCCUUGGCCGAACUUAAGUCUAGUCGAUGGAAAUUGUUUUACUAACUUGGCUGUGCGGCCCAUGGGCCCACGUCGCCAUUGGGUGGUAUUAGGAUCUUUUAUUCCUCGUCUAUACUCUGGGAUUCUGCUCUCUCUUUUAUUCGGGUUAAAUGAUCUUACAAAUUAUAACUCUAGGUUCUCGUCACCACUUUCUCCCGGAGAGCCCCUUCCGUCCAGAUGCUCGCCGGCUGCACCAGAAGAUUUCGAAGUUACUCUCCGAUGUUCCCUCGAGACUUGGUGCCCGUUGCUUUUGCAAUUCCCUAUCAUCGCUACCCCUAUGUAUAACCACGUACACUUGCCAUUCGUACAAUCAUUCCCUGUUGAUCUUGUUAUUACAAGAUACCCCGAAAUUGUCUCUAUUAUUUCGAGUAUACUUUGUGCCUACUGCCUUGCAGUUCCUUGCCACAUAAAUACCCCUACGGAUAAUUCCUCGCACUUGCUGAGUAUCCGGUCAUCCCUAGUUGUUCAUGUGUUUCACAAAAGUCCUCAAAAUACCAUUCGAUUUUUUUGGAAAACCCUGAGCAGCCCUCUUGAAUUCCUUGCCUUCCUGCAUUAUGGUUAAUUCCAUACUUCUAGUAAUCUCCGUUGACAUCCUCUGUCACUAUCAUUUCGAGUCACUUGAUUUGAUAUGUUGCGAAUGCUCGCAAUCCUCAAUCGGAUCCUAGGAUUCAUCCUUCCGGCUCAGACAUCAUUUUUAACAUGAGCUGGUCCUCGACCAAUCAAGUUGUCGUCGAAUGUACCCCUAAUUCUAUUCAACUUAUCCAUCCCUAAUCAGAGCAUUGCUUAUGAUCCCUUGUUUUGGAAUUCAUACUUCCUUUGCAAUUGAGCUUUGAAUUAAGUCAGGUGUUUCUAUCAUCCGAUCUAUUGCAUUCUUUCUUCUUCUAGUUGAGUACCGAUGCUCGCAUCAGAUCCCUUAUGGACCACCAGAUCCUUUGUUGGAUUUUAUCCGACAACGUCCUUUAUAUUCAAUAACCUUGUGAGCCUUUCCUCGGAUACAUAAUGCCUUUGGUAAAUUGUAUCCUCUGCUUUCUCAACCAUGCUCUGCCUUCGAGCUGGAAGUUAUUCACUCCUGAAGUUUGUGGUUUAUGUUCCAAAGAGGCCCCGAUGGGUUGAACCUAUGCCUUUUCUAAUAUGUGUGAACCCAAAAGUUUUCACGAGUCAUACUCUUCUGGUGCUUCGCCAGAUAAAGUUUCAACACUACAACUUCUUCGUAAAUGAGAAGUGAAUGAAAGGUUAUGCAUUACAAAAGUGGGAGUCGACCUUGAACUUUGUGUUCAUGCCCAUGGACCCGAUGUGGAACUUAUCAUGGAAGCUUCUCGCAAAAUAUUUAAUCAUUUGGGUAAUUCUUUCGGUGUCAUUAAAUUGGAUCCCUUGCAGCUAUGGUUCCGACCAUAUUGUUCUUCCUUGAUCCCAUUUCUCGGCCAAGUUUAAGCAUUUGUCUUCUGCGGACCAAUGCCCAAGUCCAACCUUUAUUUUGAUCUACCUUCGAGUAUACCCCCCUGGUAUCUCGAGGAUAUCAACCGAUUGCACUAUAUCUUAUGCAUUCCUGAUGAAGUAGCACCUUUCCCCGUCAUAGUCACUCCACGGGUUCUGGGUUGUCGUCAACUGAGAACACCGAUUAGUGAAUCGAAUCACCCCUGUGAUUCAGUACUCCUAGUACUUUGUGGUUGAGAAGUUUAAUACUCCAUCACGUCAUUCCUAGUCUGAUCGACUAUAUCAUUUUGUGCUAAAUUUUAACUGUGCUACCUGGUCCUUCUUCCCGGAGCACAAUUUUUGAUGAUGAGAUAACCUUAUGCUGAUCUUCCUCGUCGUAUCAUUUCGCCUUGAACAAUAAGAUCGAUUUUGAGUUUGGGUCGUACCCAUGGUUUCAAUAACUUUUCGCUUCAUCAUUCCGUUGACUUGAUGUCAUCGCCGAUCGGUUACAUCUUCUUGAAACCUCUCGACAAAUGUGUCGUGAUCAUCAUCAACUUUCUGAGGUCUUCCAAGAUAUCAAUUGAAUUCAUGAUGAGAAAUAACAUCCUUACCCUCAAUGGUUGGUGUUAUCAUUGACCCCUUUAUUGCCUUCCGUUCAACACAAACUUGUUCGUGUUUUGUGUUAUACCUAGAGAUCCGUGCUAUCCAGCAAUUAUUCUUCCUUACCUUGGAGUAUUACCAUCUUUUAUGUCAAGAAUGUCGUGAGGAUUGCUCCACCUCUUAAGAAUUCUUGGUAUAUUCAUGCUUCUCACCAUCACCAUUCUUUCUUGGUCUCCAUGUUGUUUCUAACCGAAAUACCGACAAAUGGUCUGUGAUGUGUAAAUUCUAGACUUUUAGCAACCCUAUUGCUUUCAAGUUAAUGGUCGAUAUUUCAUUCUUUGACUAUUGGUUGUUGGAUCACCUUUCUGACAUUGAUCAUGCUACCUAAGGCCAUACUUUGGGAACCCUUUCCAACUAGUGUUUUAUUGUGUAUGUUUUUCCUUGAGCAUACAUCAUUAUAUCAUUUGAUCCGACAAAUGUUAUCUCCUUGUUCACAUAACGGUGGAAAUCCAUCUUUUGGAUACCUCGUUGAAUUAUUGCUGAGUCCAUCAGCCACCUCCUCAUCCUCUCCUUGGCUUAAUGAUGAAUCCCUUCGUGUAUCCAGAGUCUGACCUUUGAUUGAAGACCAUGCCAAUGCUAUCUCGAAGCAUGUCUAUGGUAUUCCAAUUUUCAACAAGAACAUUGAAGCUAAUGCUAAAUGUUUCCUGCUCAAUUAUCCGAACACCAUUGUAUGUGUAAAGUCAUGAAAUUCCUCUCCCCUUACCUAAGUGGUUUUCUACCUUCUAUCCGGUCUUGGAUAUCAUACCCUGCUUGUUGGUGGGAAGGGUAUACCCCUGAAAUAUGUGUUUAAACAUGUUUUCCUUUCCAUUGUUCGGUUUAAUCUGAAGAUCACAUUUUGCCUUUCCAUUGUUCUGUUUAACCUGAUGAUCACGUUUUCCUUUCCAUUGGUUUGUUUGACCUUUCUGGUGAUCAUUAUGAUCUAAGCAGUAUUAAUUCCCUGCUUAUGUUAACACCUCCGUGUACAAUUCUGUCAGUAAGACCCUGUUGCUUUUGUUGAUGACAUUCUGAUAAUCACCGAUGGACGAGAACCUUGCCUAUUGGUCUGCCUCGUUCAACGAGCAGGAAAAUGGUUCUCUUUGUCCCCUGCCCUUGGUACCGACGCUGUUGCCGACAUAACCGACAGGUUAUGGUCUGACCUGCAUGGUUAUCAUAACCAUGCAAGAUGACACCACUCUUUCUAUCUUUAACCCACAUGGUGGGCCCAUAACCUACAUGUCCCAUGAUCGAAACCUGACUCUCCUGUACACCCUGUUGCCAAAGAUAUUCCUCGCGCUUGACUUGAUAUGUAAUUCGCGAGCCACCUUCCUAGUGAUCUACUCUGGUAUCAGCGCAAUACUUAUUCUCGUGCCCUGAAACCCUUUCACCUUCUAAUUAGGCGUCGAACGAUUGCUUAUCCGCUUGAUAGUUCUUACUAUACCUUCUUGCUUGGCUCUCGAUGUGUUUCAUUUGACCAACUCGAGAGAUACCCCUGUGUUCAUUCAUGGGAUAACCCCCGAUGGUUAACCCUUAUAGCAUCCUAUCGUUGUAGAGCUGCCCCUUACCUAUUCAUUAGUACGAUGGAGUUCCCCGAAGGAAGGACGACAACUUCAUCAUGAUGAAAUGAAGCAGAGGAAUGAAGACACAUCAAUGUCAUGGAUCGACCUCUUCGAGAAGAGCAACUAUGACCGAGAAGAAUCGUUAGAAUUUCGUAACUAGAUCCCUUCCCCCCUUGUAACCGCUCCUAAAUCAUGGGACGAGAUUUCUUGUAGUGGAGGAGAAUUGUGACGCCCUGAUAAUUAAACUACAGUAAUCUUAUGUUAAUGGCGCCAGGUCAUCGCGAUUACUGUUGUUAAACUCGGGUUGAUUCGAAUCCGGUCCAAAUUUCAAAUUCAAAUUAAAGUCCAAGAUUCAAAUUUCUCAAACCUGCAAAAUAAAAUGUUCAAAGUGUGGCAAAUCUUCCAUAUCCAAUUAUGGUGCUGACCCAACAUUUUUGUAAAAGUAUUUAAAUGCUCUUUUGUGACUAAAGAAGUGACUAAACCAAUUAUUAAAUGCCUUUAAAUAAUAAACAAAUUCAAACAUGUCUUAUUAUUGUGCCAAAUUAAUUAUGGCAGUAGCCUAAAAAGAAUACUGAUUUUUGGGCUAGGUUUAUAUUUUACAAAGCUAAUAAGAAAUAAAUGAAAGGAAACUUAAUUGAAAACAGAAACUAAUAGAAAGAAAAACAGAAAGGAGCAAAACUAGAAAGCCUACACUAUGCACACUUGGGCCUGCUGGCAACAUUGCAGGCCCAACCCAAAAACACCCGGUUCCCUUCCCCUGUUCAUCGAUCAAGGUGUGACGCCCAUCCCCUACCGCCAUGGCUGCGCCGUGGACACGAGGCGCCCAUCCGUCGGCCCUGUGUGCUGGAUAAGAGCAUCUCGGCGCCCCUCCCUCGGCAAACCCUAGCCACCCACUGCCCCUGCCUCUCCCACUUCUCCCCCCUCUCGCCCAUCUUCUCGAUCUGGAGGAGACCGUCGCCGCCGUCGCCAUGGGUUCGCCGCCUACGUAGCCACCGGCCACUCCGCGUCGCACCGCCGUGUCCAGAAGCUCCGUCGACGUCUUCUUCGUCUUCCUCGCCCACUGGAACAAGCCGAGAGCCAUCGCAUCGCCGGCAUCGAGCGUCUUCUUUCUUUGCAUCACCGUAGCUUCGUCGCGCCAAUACGAGCAAACUGCUGCUUCUAGUCACUCACCGGGCCUUCGUGCGCCUCCUCGAUGAGCUCCUCCCUCGGACCCCCUUUUUUUCCUUUGAUUUGGAUGCCGUAGGUCACCUUCAUCGUCGUGCCCGAUCUCGGGCAUACAUGUACAUAUCUGAGCUACUGCUGCUGCCUUGGAGCUGCUGCUUCUGCUAUCGCCACGCCACUGCUACACGACUGCAACCGCGGCCACCCCCUGCUAGCACCGCUCGUGCGCUGCUUCGCCGGCCGGUGCCUCCCGCUGUGACCUGCUCUACUGCUGCUGUAGUUGUCGCGACGCCCGCGGCCCAUGCUCUGCCUGCUGUAGUUGCUCUGCCCUGCUGCCACUACGCCGUCCGCGAGGGCGACGCCGGCGCCCGGCGCUGCUCACUGCUCCCCGUGCUGGCCGUGCCUUGCGCUUGCGCACGCGCCGUCGUGCGUGCCUGAUACUACCGGCGACUACUGCUUCUGGUUGCCCAAUGCUGCUGCCGCUUGCUACUUGUCUACUGCUAACUGAUGAUAGCUACUGUAGCUGCUAGCUAGCUUUGCAAAUAUUACAUCGAGUAACCCCCUGGGCAACCCCUAAAUUGUGGUUAAACAGUUGUAAACAUGAGUGAAAAUAAUAUAAGUAGAAAGUAUACAUGACAAACUCCAUUUUAUCCCACUGGGCCAAAUACUUUUGAUGCGUGGAUUAAAUCCUACAAAAAUCACAAAAUGCUAUCUUGUCUUAAAAGGAAUAGAGUUACUCCCUAGCAUUGUGUGUGUGCGCCGUGUGUGGCCGGCUGUGUGCCUCUGGCCGGCCCUGUGUGCUUGUGUGAUGUGUGUGUGUGUGUGUGCAGCGUGUGUGUGGCCAGCUGUGUGCCUCUGGCCGGCCCUGUGUGCUUGUGUGAUGUGUGUGUGUGUGCAGCGUGUGUGUGGCUGGCUGCGUCUCUGGAUGUGACCGGCCCUAUUUAGGUUAGUAGCUAAUGAGUAGUUAGACUAAUUAGUACUUUGGAUAAUUGCUAGCCUAUGACAUGUGGCCCCCUAUGUUAAUUUAACCCCUCCAUUUUAGUUUAUCCAUCAAUUAAAUUAUGUGUCAAUGACAUGUGGGCCACAUCCUCCCUUUUGACUAGUCAAAUUGACUCGGUCAAAUUCGGAUUAGAUUAAAUAAAAAUAUUCCAGAAAAUCAUAAAAAAAUACUAUAAACUUUGAAAAAUCAUAUAAAAUAAACCGUAUCUGGAAAUAUUUUGUACAUGAAAAUUGCUCAGAACAACGGGACGAAUCUGAAUACACAACCCGUUCGUCCGUCACACAUUCCUAGUAUAGCAAACACGCAACUUUCCCCCACCGGUCCGUCUGUCCGGAAACGCGGAACAUCGGGAAUACUUUCCCGGAUGUUUUCCCCGUUCACCGGUAUCACCUGUCCCUGCGUUAGGUCACUCCUAGCACAACGUAUUGCCGCGUCUUGCUUUCUGUUGCAUUUGAUUGCUCUAUUAUUUAUUGUGUUCCCCCUCUGUUACUUCUUUUCGGUAAGCUCCGAGACCGUUGUCGAUACCCCUGUGAUCGACUACAUCGACGACGACCCCUUCUUCUUGCCAAAGCAACCAGGCAAGCCCCCCCUUGAUCACCAGACAUCGCCUACUCUACUCUCUAUACUGCUUGCAUUAGAGUAGUGUAGCAUGUUACUGCUUUCCGUUAAUCCUAUCCUGAUGCAUAGCCUGUCCUUGCUACUACUGUUGUUACCUUUACCUGCAAUCCUAAUGGUUAGUAUAGGAUGCUAGUUUAUCAUCAGUGGCCCUACAUUCUUGUCCGUCUGCCAUGCUAUACUAUCGGGCCGUGAUCACUCGGGAGGUGAUCACGGGUAUAUACUAUAUACUUUAUACAUGAUACAUGUGAUGACUAAAAGACGGUUCGGCUCGUAGGAGUACCCGCGAGUGGAUCUUUGUGGCGAAGCGACAGGGCAGGUUGAGACCACCUAGGAGAGAGGUGGGCCUGGCCCUGGUCGGCGUUUGCGAUUAUUUCAAGAUAACACGUUUAACGAGAUCUUGGUAUUUGAUCCGAGUCUGGCUACUGGCCUAUACGCACUAACCAUCUAUGCGGGGACAGUUAUGGGCACUCGACGUCGUGGUAUCAGCCGAAGCCUUCGUGACGUCAGCGACUGAGUGGCGCGCGCCGGAUUGGACCAUAAGCCUGCUCUUGUAUUAAGGGCGCUAGUUCUGCUUCCGGCUGCGUUCGCAACGUGCAGGUGUGCAAGGGGCGAUGGGCCCAGACCCCUGCGCCAUAGGAUUUAGACCGGCGUGCUGACCUCUCUGUUGUGCCUAGGUAGGGCUGCGACGUGUUGAUCUUCCGAGGCCGGGCAUGACCCAGAAAAGUGUGUCCGGCCAAAUGGGAUCGAGCGUGUUGGGUUAUGUGGUGCACCCCUGCAGGGAAGUUAAACUAUUCGAAUAGCCGUGAUCUUCGGUAACAGGACGACUUGGAGUUGUACCUUGACCUUAUGACAACUAGAACCGGAUACUUAAUAAAACACACCCUUCCAAGUGCCAGAUACAACCGGUGAUCGCUCUCUCAUAGGGCGACGAGGGGAGGAUCAUCGAUUAGGGUUAUGCUAUGCGAUGCUACUUGGAGGACUUCAGUAUACUCUCUUCUACAUGCUGCAAGAUGGAGGUGGCCAGAAGCGUAGUCUUCGACAAGAUUAGCUAUCCCCCUCUUAUUCUGACUUUCUGCAGUUCAGUCCACCGAUAUGGCCGUUUACACAUUUACCCAUGCAUAUGUAGUGUAGCUCCUUGCUUGCGAGUACUUUGGAUGAGUACUCACGGUUUCUUUCUUCCUCUUUUCCCCUAUCCCUUCUACCUGGUUGUCGCAACCAGAUGUUGGAGCCCAGGAUCCAGACGCCAUCGUCGACGACGACUCCUACUACACCGGAGGUGCCUACUACUACGUGCUGCCCGCUGAC
rnacentral:lncRNA from 1 species